rnacentral:tRNA from 1 species
ACCAUUGUCGUCCAGUGGUUUAGGAUGCCAGGUUUUCAAAUCUCUAGUUGAUUCCCUGGAGACCGGGGUUCGAACCCCCGCAAUGGUA